rnacentral:rRNA from 1 species
UGUGUAGGCGGUUCUUUAAGUUUGGUGUGAAAUCUCCCGGCUCAACUGGGAGGGUGCGCCGAAUACUGAGGGACUAGAGUACGGGAGAGGAAAGUGGAAUUCCUGGUGUAGCGGUGAAAUGCGUAGAUAUCAGGAGGAACACCGGUGGUGUAGACGGCUUUCUGGACCGACACUGACGCUGAGACACGAAAGCGUGGGUAGCAAACAGGAUUAGAUACCCUGGUAGUCCACGCCCUAAACGAUGCAUAUUUGGUGUGGGCAGUUCAUUCUGUCCGUGCCGGAGCUAACGCGUUAAAUAUGCCGCCUGGGGAGUACAGUCGCAAGGCUGAA